rnacentral:rRNA from 1 species
GAUGAACGCUGGCGGCGUGCCUAAUACAUGCAAGUCGAGCGAACUUUUGGGAGCUUGCUCCCUCUAGUUAGCGGCGGACGGGUGAGUAACACGUGUGGAACCUGCCUGUAAGACUGGGGUAACUUCUGGAAACCGGGGCUAAUACCGGAUAACAUUGAAGGCCACAUGUCCUUCAAUUAAAAGAUGCCGUUUAGCUAUCACUUACAGAUGGACCCGCGCUGCAUUAGCUAGUUGGUGAGGUAACGGCUUACCAAGGCAACGAUGCAUAGCCGACCUGAGAGGGUGAGCGGCCAAAUGGGAACUGGAAAACGGACCAGACUCCUACGGGAGGCAGCAGAGGGGAACCUGCCGAAAUGGGCGAAAGCUGGACGGAGCAAGGCGGCGUGAGGGAUGAAGGUCUGCGGAUCGUAAAACUCUGUUAUAAGGGAAGAACAGAUGUGUAAGUAACUGUGCACAUCUUGACGGUACCUAAUCAGAAAGCCACGGCUAACUACGUG